AGUGAACGCUGGCGGUAGGCCUAACACAUGCAAGUCGAACGGCAGCACACUAAGAGCUUGCUCUUACGGGUGGCGAGUGGCGGACGGGUGGUGAAUACUUCGGAAUCUACUUUUUCGUGGGGGAUAACGUAGUGAAACUUACGCUAAUACCGCAUACGCCCUACCUGUGAAAUCAUGGGAUCUUCGGACCUUGCGCGUUUGAAUGAGCCGAUGUCGGAUUAGCUAGUUGGCGGGGUAGAGGCCCACCAAGGCGACGAUGAGUAGCUGGUCUGGGAGGAGGAUGAGCGACAAUGGAACUGAGACAAGGUGCAGAAGCCUACGGGAGGCAGCAGUGGGGAAGAUUAGAGAAUGGGGGCAAGAAUGAUCCAGCCAUACCGCGGGGGGGAAGAAGGAGUUCGGGUUGUAAAGAACUUUUGUUGGGAAAGAAAAGCAGCAGGUUAAUACGCCGCUGUUCUGACGGUACCCAAAGAAUAAGCACCGGCUAACUUCGUG
rnacentral:rRNA from 1 species